rnacentral:rRNA from 1 species
UGGUGGGUUGCCUUGUCAGGUUGAUUCCGGUAACGAACGAGACCUCAGCCUGCUAAAUAGUCGCGCGCACAUUUUUGUGCGUCCUUGUCGGCUUCUUAGAGGGACUAUUGGCGUUUAGUCAAUGGAAGUGUGAGGCAAUAACA